AAACAGAAGCUUCAGUGUCAGCCUGGGUUCAAAAAUAAAGAUGAAAUGGGGUUGAGCCACAGCCAACCCAGACUGCACAUGUAGCAUGAGCUGCACCUUUGUUAUCUGCUGCUGAUUUGGGGGCUGCUUGCUGCGGAACAUAACCUUCCUUCCCUGACUGGACUUGAGUCCUAGCUUAGCCAUUUCUUUGCUACAUGAACUUGGCAUUGGACUCUGUGACACCCCAGAAUCCAUGACUGCCUCAGACAGGCUCCAUUUAUAGAGAGAAAAGGUCCUGUUUCUACGGGCUGUGUUUUUCAACCAGUGAUUCAGGAGUACUGAUACGCUUGCUCUGUUUUGAGCUGCACUCACAUUUCUGCUGGGAGGCAACAACAAGGAAAACACAGGUGAGCUUGGCAGCCUUUGGGGAGGCAGCAGGUGGGAGAAUAAUCAAGAAAAGCAAAGAAAGGCUUUGGUUCUUUAGGUAA